rnacentral:rRNA from 1 species
GCUUAACACAUGCAAGUCGAACGAAGAGACAUGGGAGCUUGCUCCUAUGAAUCUUAGUGGCGAACGGGUAGAGUAACGCGUAAUCAACCUGCCUACAAUGGGGGACAACAGUUGGAACGACUGCUAAUACCGCAUACGACCUACGAUUGGCAUCAAUCGUAGGUGAAAGGUGGCCUCUACAUGUAAGCUAUCGUUGUAGGAGGGGGAUUGCGUCUGAUUAGCUAGUUGGAGGGGGUAACGGGCCCACCAAGGCGAUGAUCAGUAGCCGGUCUGAGAGGAUGAACGGCCACAUUGGGGACUGAGACACGGCCCAAACUCCUACGGGAGGCAGCAGUGGGGAAUCUUCCGCAAUGGACGAAAGUCUGACGGAGCAACGCCGCGUGAGUGAUGACGGUCUUCGGAUUGUAAAGCUCUGUUAAUCGGGACGAAUGGUUUGUGUGCAAAUAGUGCAUAGACAUGACGGGUACCGGGAAUAGAAAAGCCACGGGGCUAACUACGUGCCCAGCAGCCGCGGGUAAAU